ensembl:lncRNA
AAUUGCUCAAAGUUAUUUGAAUAUAUUACAAAAUGCAAAAAGUCCUCACAGAGAAGGUUAUGUUGCUCUUUCAUUGUGAUUCUAUUUUUUUUAUAGGAAAUUCGUCAGAUAUUGCAACGUUCCCUUGAAGGGAAAUCAAUAGUAAAGAGUUUGGAUGAAAUGCAAUCUAUUACCACCAAACAGAGGAGGCUACUUGUAAGAAUCCUUAUAUCCCACUUGCUGGAAACAAAUGGGGAAAUGUGAGUGAGCUAUAUUUAAAUUAGCAUGCGAACACCAGCAGCUACUAAGUGCUUAGAAGACAUAAUUGGCCAUUCUCAUUUUUUAGCGUUUAAACAUGAAAAUACCAAGAUUACUUCUAAUUAUAAAAUGGUUAGUUCCAGUCCUUGAUUCUGACUGGUCAAUAGCAGUGUUUUAUUUACGAUAAAGCAUGGCUAUGACCGCUUCACCCAAUGGUUCUGUGUAUCACUGCACAACACCCUUAGCAACCACUCUUUGCAACAUAAACAUAUCUUCUCAAUUGAUAUUGUUCAUUGAAGCUUACUGUAUUAUGUAGAAGAGUAAUGUGAGAGAGAGAUCGGCUGAAGGGGUUACUUUGCUUCGCGUACCUAACAACCCCCUUCAACCGUGACUUAUUCACGAGACAGGACUAGCAUCGAGUACCUAAUUACUUAUGUGAAGCCUGAGUAAGAUCAUACUGGCCUCUGCAAAAGCCUACCAUAUUGCCCCUUUUUUGACAACUUCAUCAACUUCUGUUGUUUACAUAACAGGCCAUCCUCAGACACAAAGAAAGGACUUGCCAUGGCUUUGGUGUAUGAAUUUCCAUGCCUAAAGGAUGAUACAGGCACUAGCUACGGAGCUUGGUACACACCUGGACGUAAACACAGGCCUGCUACAGGUUUCCUUGAAGAGCGUCUGCGGAAUGUUAGGAAACGGAUGAGAAAGUUAAAGCAACCUGGUCACCUAGAACCACAGCAGGACCAUAUCAUCUCUACACCAGAAUAUGGAGUGCCUCUCGAAAAAGUUCAGGAGAUGGUUGAGUGGUUGAAGGUCCACAAAUAUCCCAUCUCUGAAGUCGAAAAUUAUAUGAAGGAAACGGCUGUUUACAGAGGCAAGUGGAUCCGCAACAAUGGGUCUAAAAGCAUUGCGGAAGUUUUGAAGGAGUUCCCCAGGCUUGUAGACAAUCCUGGCAUGCCUGAUGUGUUGUAGGUACUCAUGUAACAUUUGGCGAAUUUGGACUAUACAAAAGGAGAAGAAGGGUAAAUUCAUAUCCAGUGCACUGAUUAAAGGCGACUUCUCUUACUAACUGUACUGUUACUCUGAACUGUCUACUUCACUGAUCUAACUAACAUACUUGACUAUUAACACCUAAGUUACAACCUUUAUUAAAGGAAAAACCUGAAUCCAUGACUCCUACAAGUGAGGGGAUGUGGGGGAAUAUUUGCAGGCAUGGUUUUGGUCCACUUAUCUUCUUAGAGCAGGGGUCUCCAAUCCAUGUUCCUGGAGGUCCACAGAGUUUAGCUACAACCUACUCCAACAUUAAUGCCUGUAUGUUUCUAGCAGUGCCAAAACACAUUCAGUGGGUCAAAGUUGUUUUGAGUGAUC